rnacentral:rRNA from 1 species
UCGCUACUACCGAUUGAACGUUUUAAUGAGUUCCGAGGAUUGAUGUCUAUCUGGAUUCGUCCAUUUAGAUUGAAAGAGCAGGUGCAAAUUUGAGCGUUUAGAGGAAGUAA